AUCGCUUCUCGGCCUUUUGGCUAAGAUCAAGUGUAGAAAAUGCUAUCUUUUUCUACUAGAUGGUUUUAGUUCCUUUGCCAAAGAUCAAGUGACCAUAAGUGUGUGGGUUGAAUUCUGGGUCAUCAAAUCUAUUCCAUUGCUCUGCAAUAUAGUUUGAAGUUAGGGAUGCUGAUUCCUCAGAAGUUCUUUUAUCAUUG
ensembl:snRNA LOC120100443 U2 spliceosomal RNA